AUGUGCAGUUUUGGAGAUUAAUUUCCAAUCACGAGUAUAGUUCGUGGAAUUCUUGCGAAGGAUAGGUUCGGUCACCCAUCUAUCGGUUCUUGCAUCGGUUGAUCGCUUUCACCAUAAAUCAAAAACAUCACGAUGACAAGGUGCCUUCCCAUAAUCUUUUCUAUCUUUGGAGCAUCAUCACGUCAGGAGUCUUUUGUGAUCUUCCUUAUAUGCUAGCGAGAUUUUUGGGGACGAAGGUGGUAAAUUCUCGUCCUAAUAGUCAUAUUACGGUGGACAUUUGGUUACACGACUCGCUCGUUCAUAUGAGAUUUUGAGUUCUAACUUUGUUCGGAAUUUGACACGUUUCUAGGAUUUGUUUCGAUCGUGUAAAUUUGUUUGUUCUUGAUGUAAACUAGUGUCUCAACCAAAAAAUCGCAGCCAAUCAAGAAUUUUUUUUGUCAGAAUCGUUCAUCGUCGUCCAAGAUUCAGAUCGUGUAGGGUUAUUUCCUAAAAUUUCAACUCAUUGGAAUCAUUAAAUCGAUUAAGCUUCUUUAAUCUCGUAAUGAUUUGUGAAACAGGUAUGAUUUCUCUAAUUGAUUACAUAUGUGAUUGAUUUUGCCCUAGUUUCUAGUUCAACUUCUAAAAUCUCUCAUCUCCUUUUACCUUAGAUUUUUGUCUUUCGUUCCCCCACACUACCACCAUUCGAAGAUCAUUGGGAAGUAUAAUUGGCUCUCGAUUGGUCAAUUUUACUCUUUCUUUACUUCCUCAUCGUAGAGUUUGUAGCAAUCAGAGAGGUGUUCGACCCUUCGUCUCUUUUUCUGGUUUGUGGCUAAUGUACACAUAACCUGACAUCUCACUUUUUGAAGUUCAGUUUUCCAUUGACUGAAGAGUCAAUUUCUAGUUUCUCGAUUGUUCAUUGUCAAGACUCGAAUUACAUGGAAUUCUAGAUAAAUGUUGUUGCUUGUUAAAGUUUAGUGAUCAUUUUAUUUAGUGAGGCU
rnacentral:lncRNA from 1 species